UACGGAAGGCAGCAGUGGGGAAUAUUGCACAAUGGGCGCAAGCCUGAUGCAGCCAUGCCGCGUGUAUGAAGAAGGCCUUCGGGUUGUAAAGUACUUUCAGUCGUGAGGAAGGUGUUAAGGUUAAUAACCUUAGCAAUUGACGUUAGCGACAGAAGAAGCACCGGCUAACUCCGUGCCAGCAGCCGCGGUAAUACGGAGGGUGCGAGCGUUAAUCGGAAUUACUGGGCGUAAAGGGCACGCAGGCGGUUAAUUAAGUUGGAUGUGAAAUCCCCGGGCUUAACCUGGGAAUGGCAUUCAAGACUGGUUAGCUAGAGUCCUGUAGAGGGGGUAGAAUUCCAUGUGUAGCGGUGAAAUGCGUAGAGAUGUGGAGGAAUACCGGUGGCGAAGGCGGCCCCUGGACAAAGACUGACGCUCAUGUGCGAAAGCGUGGGGAGCAAACAGGGAUUAGAUACC
rnacentral:rRNA from 1 species